UAACGGGGCUAAACCAUGCACCGAAGCUGCGGCAGCGACACUAUGUGUUGUUGGGUAGGGGAGCGUUCUGUAAGCCUGCGAAGGUGUGCUGUGAGGCAUGCUGGAGGUAUCAGAAGUGCGAAUGCUGACAUAAGUAACGAUAAAGCGGGUGAAAAGCCCGCUCGCCGGAAGACCAAGGGUUCCUGUCCAACGUUAAUCGGGGCAGGGUGAGUCGACCCCUAAGGCGAGGCCGAAAGGCGUAGUCGAUGGGAAACAGGUUAAUAUUCCUGUACUUGGUGUUACUGCGAAGGGGGGACGGAGAAGGCUAUGUUAGCCGGGCGACGGUUGUCCCGGUUUAAGCAUGUAGGCUGGUUGUCCAGGCAAAUCCGGAUAAUCAAGGCUGAGGUGUGAUGACGAGGCACUACGGUGCUGAAGUAACAAAUGCCCUGCUUCCAGGAAAAGCCUCUAAGCAUCAGGUAACAUUAAAUCGUACCCCAAACCGACACAGGUGGUCAGGUAGAGAAUACCAAGGCGCUUGAGAGAACUCGGGUGAAGGAACUAGGCAAAAUGGUGCCGUAACUUCGGGAGAAGGCACGCUGGUGUGUAGGUGAAGUCCCUGCGGAUGGAGCUGAGACCAGUCGAAGAUACCAGCUGGCUGCAACUGUUUAUUAAAAACACAGCACUGUGCAAACACGAAAGUGGACGUAUACGGUGUGACGCCUGCCCGGUGCCGGAAGGUUAAUUGAUGGGGUUAUCCGUAAGGAGAAGCUCUUGAUCGAAGCCCCGGUAAACGGCGGCCGUAACUAUAACGGUCCUAAGGUAGCGAAAUUCCUUGUCGGGUAAGUUCCGACCUGCACGAAUGGCGUAAUGAUGGCCAGGCUGUCUCCACCCGAGACUCAGUGAAAUUGAACUCGCUGUGAAGAUGCAGUGUACCCGCGGCAAGACGGAAAGACCCCGUGAACCUUUACUAUAGCUUGACACUGAACAUUGAGCCUUGAUGUGUAGGAUAGGUGGGAGGCUUUGAAGCGUGGACGCCAGUCUGCGUGGAGCCAACCUUGAAAUACCACCCUUUAAUGUUUGAUGUUCUAACGUUGGCCCCUGACCGGGGUUGCGGACAGUGUCUGGUGGGUAGUUUGACUGGGGCGGUCUCCUCCCAAAGCGUAACGGAGGAGCACGAAGGUUAGCUAAUCCUGGUCGGACAUCAGGAGGUUAGUGCAAUGGCAUAAGCUAGCUUGACUGCGAGCGUGACGGCGCGAGCAGGUGCGAAAGCAGGUCAUAGUGAUCCGGUGGUUCUGAAUGGAAGGGCCAUCGCUCAACGGAUAAAAGGUACUCCGGGGAUAACAGGCUGAUACCGCCCAAGAGUUCAUAUCGACGGCGGUGUUUGGCACCUCGAUGUCGGCUCAUCACAUCCUGGGGCUGAAGUAGGUCCCAAGGGUAUGGCUGUUCGCCAUUUAAAGUGGUACGCGAGCUGGGUUUAGAACGUCGUGAGACAGUUCGGUCCCUAUCUGCCGUGGGCGCUGGAGAAUUGAGGGGGGCUGCUCCUAGUACGAGAGGACCGGAGUGGACGCAUCACUGGUGUUCGGGUUGUCAUGCCAAUGGCACUGCCCGGUAGCUAAAUGCGGAAGAGAUAAGUGCUGAAAGCAUCUAAGCACGAAACUUGCCCCGAGAUGAGUUCUCCCUGAGACUUUAAGUCUCCUGAAGGAACGUUGAAGACGACGACGUUGAUAGGCCGGGUGUGUAAGCGCAGCGAUGCGUUGAGCUAACCGGUACUAAUGAACCGUGAGGCUUAACCUU
rnacentral:rRNA from 1 species